CACCCCGGGACCGGAAGCAACCAGUCAGGCGCUUCCCCGGCUUCUCCCCCAGAACGCAGGGCAGUCUUUCCCAGGCCGGAGGUUAGAGUUGAGGUCUCUUCGCGCUUCGAGGUUUCGAGGAGAAGCGACCGAGAAGCGACCAUCACCCAGGGGGCGGAGAAAGGCCCAAAAGACUGCUUCACCGGAUUCAUUGGGGACCCUUCCGCGGUGCUGAGGGUUUGGUUUCCCGGGUGGAACUGAGAGCAACUGCGCAUCUGGCACAGAUUUCGGCUCCUAGUGCAGGAGACGCAGGGUCUCGACCCAGUUCUGUUCCGGCCUCGUAUCAUCGAGUCUGCCGCUCCUUCUCUUCGCCGGGACCCUGGCCACCGGCUCUGGACCCCGCAGCACAGCACAGAGUGUGGAUCGCCUGAACUCAGCCCCCAGCCUUGCUCCUUUGCUUCCGUCUCUGUUACCUACCUGAGCUUGCUCUGGCAGGUUCCUCAUCUACCACUUGGAGAUGAAAAGAACCUUAUGGGGCUUCUGUGGGGAUUUAAAUACUGUAGUUGUUUAGUUGCUAAGUGAUUUCCGACUCUUUUGCGAUCCCAAGAAUUGUAGCCCGCUGGGCUCCCCUGUCCAUGGGAUUUUCCCGGCCAGAAUACUGGAAUGGGUUGGCAUUUCCUUCUCCAGGAGAUCUUCCCAAUGGAGGGAUGGAACCCAGGUCUCCUGCACUGGUAGGGGGAUUCUUUACCACUGAGUCACUGGGAAUUUUAAUGAAUUGGUAUUUGUUAAGAUUUAUUAGAAGAGUGCUUGGCACCUAGUAAAUUCUCUGUCAUUGUUACCCUUUGGGGUGGGGCAUUUCACUGUGUAAGGUUGUAUUAUUUAUUUGGUAACCUCCUUGUCUCUCUCCUGCUAGAGUAUAAGCUUUAUGUAGCCAUACCACAGGCUUUGUUCAGGUGACUGCCAUAUCUUGAGUGCUUAGAAGAGUUUUCGGUGAAGUGGGGGAAAAAUGGUAAAGAGAAAAAAUACGGGCACAUAUAACAUUUCUAAUUAGUCGUCAGUUACUAGUGAUACAUAGACUAAAAUACUACUAAGGAAAAUGUCUCCCCACCCUCUUCCUGCUAACAGGCUAGUGAUACUUGGAGCAAUUGUUGCUCUGCAUACAUCACUAUGUUGCCAGCAACCUUGUGAUUUGAUGCAUUGUUUUCUAUAAUUUAUUUGAUAAAAAAUUGUGAGAUAUUUUGCCACUCUUCCUUUGACCCCAAUAAGUCAAGUCCUUGGGACAUCUUUGAAGGAAAUAAUUUGAAAAUUAGCAUGUUUUUGGAAAAUAGGCUAUUUUUCUGAAAAUGUGCUUCCCAGCAUUGUUUAUAAUAGUAAAAAUUAGAAUAAUCUAUAAUAAAGAGAUUAAGUAAAUAAGACAUAUUACAGAUGAGCAGUACACAUGAACAUGAAAAUACAUUAAGAUGGAGGAAUAUGCUUUUUUUCCUCUGAAUGAUUCCUUUAAUGCCAAAGUAAUAUUGUUUUAAAAGUUAGUAACAUAAAAAAAAAAAAAAUCCAUGCAAAGUAAUCUCAUGAGUCUCUUCCUUUAGCAGGCUAAAAAUAAUUAUUUGGCCCUUUGAGCCUGUCCCAGAGUCAUAAAUUACCUCAGGCUUUCCUUACUUCUCUUCUCCAGGAGUUCCUUUGCAACCCUGACUGAUCUCUUAUUGUAAUAUGUUGUCAGCCUCCUGGGUAUGAUUUUCAGAAUAAAUUGCAAAGUAUUCAUGAAAGUGAA
ensembl:lncRNA